UGCCGAAACCCGGGAUUGAACCAGACCUUUAGAUCUUCAGUCUAACGCCCUCCCAACUGACCUAUUUCGGC
rnacentral:tRNA from 1 species